CUUCAGUCCAGAUCUUCUGUUAAGACCUACUAACAGCUACAGCUCUUUAAUGGAAACAGUUAUGCAGGAGGAAAAGAGAAGGGGAGACCAGAGAAACUCUACUGGUUAUCCUUCGGCCUUUUGAAGAAGCCUCUGCACUAACUGGAGAAGCUAUUUACCCACAAUUAAAGACAGCACACCUAAACUUUACUUAUACACUCAAGCCUUUUACAAGGAAGCCUUCAGCAAAAGAUGUGCUUCAGGGAAAAGUUUGCUGUCACUGCAAAAAAAUAUCUAAAAGAAGAACAUUGCCUGGGACCAGUAUAAAGCCUGGAAACACGACUGCAACCAUCUCUGUUUGGAAGCUUUUCAUAUGCUUGUAUGGAUAUGAGAGAAGACACCAGUAUUCAGAUCUUUUUUCCUUUCAUGUUUCAGUCUGACCUUUUCAUCCUAUGCUGAUCAAUUGUAACAGCUGAACAUACUUCCAUCACUACAACAGUUAGAAUUGGUUUGCAGCAACAAUACCUGCUUCAAUAAAUUUCUGAAAGCA
rnacentral:lncRNA from 1 species